rnacentral:rRNA from 1 species
UGAGGAAUAUUGGUCAAUGGGUGCAAGCCUGAACCAGCCAUCCCGCGUGAAGGACGACUGCCCUAUGGGUUGUAAACUUCUUUUGUAUAGGGAUAAACCUACCCUCGUGAGGGUAGCUGAAGGUACUAUACGAAUAAGCACCGGCUAACUACGUGCCAGCAGCCGCGGUAAUACGUAGGGAGCAAGCGUUGUUCGGAUUUACUGGGCGUAAAGGGCGCGUAGGCGGCGCGGUAAGUCACUUGUGAAAUCUCUGAGCUUAACUCAGAACGGCCAAGUGAUACUGCUGGGCUAGAGUGCGGAAGAGGCAACCGGAAUUCUUGGUGUGGCGGUGAAAUGCGUAGAUAUCAAGAGGAACACCUGAGGCGAAGGCGGGUUGCUGGGCCGACACUGACGCUGAUGCGCGAAAGCCAGGGGAGCAA